rnacentral:rRNA from 1 species
UAAGGAAUAUUGGACAAUGGAGGCAACUCUGAUCCAGCCAUGCCGCGUGAAGGAAUGAGGCCCUAUGGGUUGUAAACUUCUUUUAGACGGGACAAAACCCCUUUACGUGUAAAGGGUUGAUGGUACUGUCAGAAUAAGCAUCGGCUAACUUCGUGCCAGCAGCCGCGGUAAUACGAAGGAUGCAAGCGUUAUCCGGAAUUAUUGGGUUUAAAGGGUGCGUAGGCGGACUAAUAAGUCAGUGGUGAAAGCCUGCAGCUUAACUGCAGAAUUGCCAUCGAUACUGUUAGUCUUGAGUACAGUUGAGGUAGGCGGAAUGUGUCAUGUAGCGGUGAAAUGCUUAGAUAUGACACAGAACACCGAUUGCGAAGGCAGCUUGCUAAGCUGUAACUGACGCUGAGGCACGAAAGCGUGGGGAGCAAACA